rnacentral:rRNA from 1 species
UACAGAGGGUGCAAGCGUUGUUCGGAAUUAUUGGCGUAAAGCGCGUGUAGGCGGCUUGCAAGUCGGGUGUGAAAGCCCUCGGCUCAACCGAGGAAGUGCGCCCGAAACUGCAGAGCUUGAGUACCGGAGAGGAUGGCGGAAUUCCCAAGUAGAGGUGAAAUUCGUAGAUAUGGGGAGGAACACCGGUGGCGAAGGCGGCCAUCUGGACGGAUACUGACGCUGAGACGCGAAAGCGUGGGAGCAACAGG